AACGAACGCUGGCGGCGCGCUUAACACAUGCAAGUCGAACGAGAAGGCGUAGCAAUACGCUUGUACAGUGGCGAACGGGUGAGUAAUACGUGGGCGACCUACCCUCGAGUGGGGAAUAACCCGCCGAAAGGCGGGCUAAUGCCGCGUACGCUUCCAUCUUUAUGGAGGUGGAAGGAAAGCCGUGCUGUGGGCACGGCGCUCAAGGAUGGGCUCACGUCCUAUCAGCUUGUUGGAGGGUAACGGCCUACCAAGGCUCCGACGGGUAGCUGGUCUGAGAGGACGAUCAGCCACACUGGCACUGCGACACGGGCCAGACUCCUACGGGAGGCAGCAGUGAGGAAUAUUGCGCAAUGGGCGAAAGCCUGACGCAGCGACGCCGCGUGGGGGAUGAAGGU
rnacentral:rRNA from 1 species